rnacentral:lncRNA from 1 species
UUAUAUCAUUUUCAGAGUACUUAGUCAUUUCUCCCCCACUUGAUAUAAAGGGCUUCGGCGCUGUUGUCCCAUCUCCCAAGUUCACACGUGGCACUGCUCCCAAGUGGGUUUUUAAUUCACAUAGACUGAAUGAAAAAUAGAAAAUUCUUGUGAAAGAUCUGAAAAUUGCCAUUCCUAUGUGGAUUUGAAAAGAUUCCUCCUAUCUUUAUUAAUAGGAUCUUAGCAACUUUGUCUUAUACUGACCCUGUCUGGCCCUUCUUUAAUUCUCUGGAUGCCACCUUACUUACAAAUGCUGCAAAGCAUACUCAGCUUCAAAGCCUUUUAUUUUAGCUCCUCUGGCCACAGUCUGGCCUUUCCCGGGUGUGCAAGUCACAGCUGGUAAUGAUGGGGACCAGAUGAUGCCCCAGCAGCACAUGAAAGGUUUUUACCAGGAUGUGGUUUGAUGGUUUUGCUGGGGUAUUUUGUUGUUGUUAUUUUUUUCCUUUGGAAUGUGAGUUGUGGCCAAGAAUUAUUUCCCUGAUUACAUUUUUCCUGUUCCUGUGCAUUUGGAGAGGUGGGGAACAUACAGAGAUGUAAGGAACAUGCUUAUGAACUACUUCUCAAGCUAAUUAAGAGGCUCUUGUCGGGUGACCUUUAGCUGUGACCUUUUGUCUAUUCAAUAAAUAUGCUUUUAAUUAUGUCCAAAGUAUCCUGCUGAUAUCUUGGUCUAUCGCUUUUACAUCAUUAUUCUAAAUCUUUAAAAAACUUAAAUGUCUAUAAACAUAAGUCAUUGAGUAUUACAGGAGAAAUCCCGCCCUUAUGCUGAUCUUCACAUCACGUGGUAGCGUGAGCAUGAGUUUGGGGAUCCCUGGCUGCAGAGCACUGUGUACUGUCUAUAGGCUGUUACUAUUUUAAAUAUUUAUUGUGUUUUUCUCCUUGUAGAAUUGUUGAAUGUUCAUGGUAGAAAAUUUGAAUGAUAGAGAAAAGGACAAGGAAGAAAUUAAAAAUCAUCUGUAAUCUCAACAUCAUACACAUCUCACUCCUUUUUUCACAGUUGGGGAAAAACAAUGGAAUACAUAAAACCGGCCCUCCAGCCAUUUAUUUCAGGAUCAUAACUAGAAAGUCUGCCUAUUGGUAAAAUUCGCUAGGCUCAGCCUGUUAAUGAUUUUUGUAUUCAGUGGUUCUAAAACUUGCAGCUGCCUAGUCCUGAGAUGCCUUUUUUUUUUUCUUUCUAUAUAUCUGUACUCUCUUUAGGUCAUCUUUACCAGUCCCUGGGCAUCGAACUGUGUACCUCUCCACAGUGUGUAUCUUCAACCCUGGCCACUCUUUGCAAUCUUCACUCAUGUAUGAAACUGGCAUCUUAGCAUCUCCAUUUAGAUGUCUAACAGGGCUCUCAAACUUAACAAGGCCAAAGCUGAACCCCUGAUGUUCCUCUCUCCAGAUUUUUUUUUCCCCAGGCAGUUUUCCAUAUCUUAAUAAGGAGCAUCGCAUCCACCCAGGGGCUCAGGUCAGAGUCUGAGAAGUUGUUCCUGAUUCUCUCCUUGCUUCACCCCUUCCUCUCAUCUAGUGUUUGUGAGUCUGGGGAGAGAAAUAUUUGGGAUAAUGCCAGUUUUUUCUGGGCCAGGCUAUUAUUAAGUAAUGUAAUUUAUAGGGGUAUGUUCUCCCUUGGCUAGAAACAAAUGGAAUCCUGUCAACUCCCAUGCUGGGGGGUAGGCAUGACUUUGGCAGGACAGAUGUUUUCCAUAUUUGAGAAAAGGAAGAACUCUUAUGGACGACCCAGAAAUAUGUAGCAGACUUCAACAACUGCUAUUUUUGGCAGCAGAAAUCAACCCUAGGGGCUGAAAAUUUCAAGUAGGGGCCUCUUGCGUAGCUACCAAUGAAGAGUGUGCAGCAAGAUUAGCACAAAGCAAAGUUCCCAGUGAGCCAAGAAACUAGGAGAACCUGGGUCAGAAGAGGUCAGAUCCCAGGACAGUAGGUUAUCUUCUUGGGGUGAUAGGUUAAUCCAUUUUUCCUCUUCCACAAGGCACUUGCUGGAAUGAGCUGUUGGGUAGGGCUGGGCAGAGGGCAUUGAGAAAAAAGGGGAAAAAAGGAAGGUAGGGAGACUCUGGUGCAGUGCUUCUCCAUAGGGACAGUUGCUCUGGGAAGGACACUGUGUGUGUGCAGACUGCCCUGCCCACUGGGGCCCACUUAGCAUCUCUGAUCCUGAAUGCCAGAAGUAAAUGCUAGUAAAUGCCAGAAGUGCCUGUCAGUCACUGUGAUAACCAAAAAUGUCUGUACAUAUUGCUGUAGGUAUGAGCAGUCCAACCUCCUUGGAGUCUCUUGUGAGAACCUAUUAGUAAGGAAAGAAAUCUUUAGAGGGAUCUGAAGGAAAGAUAGGUGUGUGGCAGGGGGAGAGAUAUUGACUGAUUGCUGGGAGAGUACCUGGGGUGAUCAGACUUAGGAUGUGGAGACACAUGUGAUCAAGAGCAACCUCUGCCUCAGGAUCCUCAAGGAUCCUAAGACAGAAGAGAGUGUCCAUCAGGGUCCUUGGAGAGAACCUCUCCAUCCUCAGCUGUCAGGGGAUUCUGGGGCCCAGCCAAGAGUAGAUUUGUUUUGCCGUAUGCAUCUGCAAUCCUGUUGGAAUGAGUUUACUACAAACACUUAAAUAGCCAGAGUGUGCGACACAUGGGAGCGUCUGUGAUGUCAUUUUCUCUGUGAUACAUUCCACUGGUCUGAGUAAUACUACCUAAAAAUCAUAUGUUCUAGCUCCCUGCAGCCUGUGCUUGGGACUAGAAAUCACUUUGCCAAUCAUACUCAUAUGGCAAGAUGGGUACAAGGGAUAAUCUUAGACAGUGUGGACUCAAACCUGUCAAGAGCAUUCCAUUUUGUAAGUAAACCAACUUGCAGCAUCCCCUUAGGUUGGUUAUUUUAUGUCUCUGAACCUCAGUUUUCCUGUCUGUAAAACAGAGCACUAUUAAUACUGUAUAACCCUAUAGCAAAGAAUGGAUAAAAUAAUUAUGCAAAAUACCUGAUACAUAUAAUAAUUAUGUAAAUUAUCCGACUCCAUAAACAUUAAUUCCCCAACUAUCCACAUAGUCCUGGAGUGAGGAAACAACUUUUGAUUCAAUGAUCUUUUAUAGUUUUAUAAAAGUUUGUCUUCUUCAAGUUCUUUCCAUCCUUCCUCUUGCACAACCAGUGCUAGACAACUUGGGAGAAUGACUCUUACCCUCAUCCACGUAGAUAGCACAUCACACUACAAUUUACCCUGCAGCAUCUGACAUGUGGGGAUGUGAACAGGAAAAGGGGUUCUAUUUUUAUACAGCCAAAAACGGGGUUCUGUUUUUUAUAGGAUGCAGUAUACAGGUUAAUCUGGGCAUCAGAUGUCAAUUUCCUUCUAACAAAUUGGUAGAAACAAAGAGGCAGGGGAAAAAAAUUGCACUCUGAACUGAUCGAGGCUUCAGGCAGCACCAGCAUCUCUACUUGUCUUUGCAUGACUAAGCAUUUGUCUGCUGUCAUGUAACAUAACUUUGCUGUCAGUUCUUUUAAAUAUCUGUGAAAACUCAAAUAAUUGGAGAGAUUCUUUAAGAGGCAUGCAAAAGUUACAGAAGUCAAGGAUGUCAGCAACAAUAUAAACAUUAAGAUGGUGAGAAUGAGGUUAGUAUACAUAUAAUCAGGCAUCAAAAUGGAACAGGUCAUUAAUGAUGCUUCCUUUUGCUGCUCUUCUUCCUUUCACACAUCUUUUUUUUUUUUAUUUAUUUAGACAGCCUCUUCUCUUUUCCCCUAACGCCUCUCUCUGUGCUUUCUUUCUCUUCUUCCCACAGCACAGCCCCUAUGCUCCGCCCCACCCCCAGAUAUAUCUUGAACACUACUAAUAUCCCCCAUCACAGAAUGGAUAUUGAAAGGUGUCUUUAUAAGUUUAUAUUGAACAUGAACCUAAAACAGUAAUUACAAGAAUUGCU